GUGAGGAAUAUUGCGCAAUGGAGGCAACUCUGACCCAGCCAUGCCGCGUGCAGGAAGACGGCCCUCUGGGUUGUAAACUGCUUUUAUCUGGGAAGAAAAAGGCCAUGCGUGGCAAAUUGCCGGUACCAGAUGAAUAAGCACCGGCUAACUCCGUGCCAGCAGCCGCGGUAAUACGGAGGGUGCGAGCGUUGUCCGGAUUUAUUGGGUUUAAAGGGUGCGUAGGCGGCUGAUUAAGUCAGCGGUGAAAGACUUCGGCUUAACCGGAGCAGUGCCGUUGAUACUGGUUGGCUUGAGUGUCGGAGGGGUACAUGGAAUUGAUGGUGUAGCGGUGAAAUGCAUAGAUACCAUCAGGAACACCGAUAGCGAAGGCAUUGUACUGGCCGACAACUGACGCUGAUGCACGAAAGUGUGGGGAUCGAACAGGAUUAGAUACCCUAGUAGUCC
rnacentral:rRNA from 1 species